rnacentral:rRNA from 1 species
GACGGGGGCCCGCACAAGCAGUGGAUUAUGUGGUUUAAUUCGAAGCAACGCGAAGAACCUUACCAGGGCUUGACAUCCUCUGACCGCUCUAGAGAUAGAGUUUCCCUUCGGGGCAGAGAGACAGGUGGUGCAUGGUUGUCGUCAGCUCGUGUCGUGAGAUGUUUGGUUAAGUCCAAUAACGAGCGCAACCCCUAUGGUCAGUUGCCAUCAUUUAGUUGGGCACUCUGGCAAGACUGCCGCGGACAACGCGGAGGAAGGAGGGGACGACGUCAAAUCAUCAUGCCCCUUAUGUCCUGGGCUACACACGUAAUACAAUGGCAACGACAGAGGGCAGCAAACCCGCGAGGGUAAGCAAAUCCCCAAACGUUGUCUCAGUUCGGACUGCAGGCUGCAACCCGCCUGCACGAAGUCGGAAUUGCUAGUAAUGGCAGGUCAGCAUACUGCCGUGAAUACGUUCCCGGGCCUUGUACACACCGCCCGUCACACCAUGAGAGUCUGCAAUACCCGAAGUCAGUAGCCUAACCGCAAGGAGGGCGCUGCCGAAGGUAGGGCCGAUAAUUGGGGUGAAGUCGUAACAAGGUAGCCGUUCGAAA